GUUUGUUUGGAGUUAUAAAGAAUUUAACCUGCCCCCUGAUUUAUUAUUUAAAGGGCCGCAGUAUUAUAACUGUGCAAAGGUAGCAUAAUCAUUAGGUUUUUAAUUGAAAUCUUGUAUGAAUGGUUGGACAAAAGAAAAACUCUCUUUAUAUUAAGUUUUGAAUUUAACUUUUAAGUGAAAAGGCUUAAAUAUUCUAAAGGGACGAUAAGACCCUAUAAAACUUUACAUUGUCAUUAAUUUUGAUUGAAUUUGUGAGAUAAAAAUUUUAUUUGAUUAUUUGUUAUGUUGGGGAGAUAUAAGUAAAAUAUUUUUUUAACUGCUUUGACAAUUAUACAAUUAUUAGUGAAUAAGUAGAAGAUCCUUUAUUAAAGAUUAGUAGAUUAAGUUACUUUAGGGAUAACAGUGUAAUUUCUUUUGAGAGUUCUUAUCGAAAAAGAAGGUUGCAACCUCGAUGUUGAAUUAAAAUAUCUAUAUAAUGGAGAGAUUAUAUAAGAAGGUCUGUUCGACCUUGAAAUUUUUACAUGAUUUGAGUUCAAACCGGUGUGAG
rnacentral:rRNA from 1 species